rnacentral:lncRNA from 1 species
GGUCCGGUGUCCAAGCCCCACCUCCAGAGUCAAGUCCUGCCUCCUAUCUCAAGAUAAUCAGAAGGAGCGGAAGUCUGAAAACAACCAAUCAUCCUGGAAGAAGACCCUGAGCUUUAGAUAAGACUACAGCUCCAGCUGACACCUUGAUUUCAGCCCCAUGAGACCCUGAGCAGAGAAUCCGGUUGAGCCGUGCUUGGAUUUUGACCUAUAGAGCUGUGAGAUAAUACAUUUGUGUUGCUUUAGUUGAUGCACUUCUGUCAAUUUGUUACACAGCAAUGAGAACUGAAUAAGGGAGAAACAAAUGCUGGGUAGACAGAAGCGACGGAUGUGCAUGAGGAGCUGAGACAGACAGCUGCCUGGAAUUGAGCCUUACUUAGCCUGGAAGAUGGCAGCAUGGAGUAGUGGUUAAGCCCGUGGACUUUGGAAUCAGGUUUUCUGCGCUCAAGUCUUGUCACUGCGAUCUACUAGCUGUGUGACCUUGGAUGCCAGACACUGUCCUGAGCACUAUCCAUGUGUCAUCACUUAAUCUUCACGGCAGCUUAUGAGGUAGGUACUAUUAUGAUCCCCAAUUUUGGUGAUGGGAAACUGAGGCAGAGAGCUGUUAGUAACAUUUAAAGUCACACAGCUAAUAAAUGGCAGAACUGGGAUAUGAACCCAG